GCCCGGUUAGCUCAAUCGGUAGAGGUUAGUAGACAUCAAUCAUCCGAUUUGAUUCCUUCAUCUUAUACUAACUUCUUCCAUAGCGUGAGACUCUUAAUCUCAAGGUUGCGGGUUCGACCCCCGCAUCGGGCU